rnacentral:lncRNA from 1 species
AAUUUCUUUGCUACUUUUUCACUAUGUUUCAUUCAUGUGAGAGGCAAGAGAAGGUGCCCAGUCCAUGUGUCCCACUUGUCUGGAAGAACGUUUGGAGUCUGGCAGUCUGGUUGUUUUCGUAGCUCCAGAGGAUUUUUAGGAGCAUGGGGAGCAUGGGAUGCAUCAACCUGUGGACCACAAAACCCUCUGGAGAAUGUUGGCUGUGGAUAAAAGCAUCUGGAAGUUUCUACCAUCUUUUUACCCUGUUUUUUCCCGGGUUACCCUGUGUCAUUUGUGGCCCUGUCCUGAGGAUUAUGGCAAACAGUCACUUACUGGAAUUCCUCCUCAUGUAUCUUCUUGAAAUGGAGCCACUGCUUUACCCAGCUGGAAGAUAUUUUCUCCCAGAGCUCUUCCAGUGCAGCAGCAGCACUCCUGUCCAGCAGCUGUUUGAUAAAGACGUUGCAAACCAGAUCUCCUCUUGUUGCUGUAAGAUGUGAAAAGGUCCUUU